rnacentral:rRNA from 1 species
GACGAACGCUGGCGGCGUGCUUAACACAUGCAAGUCGAACGGAAAGGCCCUGCUUUUGUGGGGUGCUCGAGUGGCGAACGGGUGAGUAACACGUGAGUAACUGGCCCUGGCUUUUGGAUAACCUCCGGGAAACUGGGCCAAAUCCGGCAUAGGGCCCCUGCUGCCUUGGUGGGGGUGGGAAAUUUCGGCCGUUGGGGAUUGAAUCGCGGGUUAUCAGCUUGUUGGUGGGGUAGUGGCUUACCAUGGCUUUGACGGGUAGCCGGCCUGAGAGGGUGACCGGCCACAUUGGGACUGAGAUACGGCCCAGACUCCUACGGGAGGCAGCAGUGGGGAAUAUUGCACAAUGGGCGGAAGCCUGAUGCAGCAACGCCGCGUGCGGGAUGACGGCCUUCGGGUUGUAAACCGCUUUCGCCUGUGACGAAGCGUGAGUGACGGUAAUGGGUAAAGAAGCACCGGCUAACUACGUG